ensembl:lncRNA
AUUAAUUCAUAUAGAUGAAAUACUUUUAUGUCUGUGUCACAAAAAGAUGCUUCAAGCAUAUGGCUCCAGAAUAAUGUUAGAUAUUAGAAAGAAACUAAAUACUCAAAGAACACAUAAGAGCAAGUCAAAAACAAACUGAAAUCAAAAAUACAUUUUAAUAAACUUCACAUACAAUUAUAUGACCAGUAACCCAGUGCAACUGGAAGCCGUGCAUUCUGGUACAUAUUGAUCUUAAUUUCAGCCAUCCAAAUAAUAUUUUUUUCCAGAAGUGGUCUGGCUUUUUUAGAUGUUUUACAGUGUGAAUAAAAUGGAUGUAAAGCAUUUCCUCAUAUACCACAUACUCCAACAUCAAUACAAAUAGUUAGAAACUUCCAAUAUGUUUUCGAUAACGUUAGGACAUAUUAAAAAAUGAUGUAAGAAUACAUAAUAAAUUUGAAGAUCACAGAUUUCUUUACAAAAUGAUUAUUAUGAGCUGUGCUCAUAAAUAUUGUAAAUGUAGCCUACUAUUGUUAUAAAGUAAUUUCUAUGCAUUUAUUUAUUCAAUUUCUUGCAAAAAUAAAUAAUAUGACCGAUUGAUUCAGGGAAUCUGAAUGAUUUAUAGAAAUUAUGAGGUUGCAGUUACAAGCAAACAAGUUAAUUUGCAUGUAACAGUGCCACCUUGUGGCCGAUUCUCAUAAUUUAUUUUUAUAAACAGCCUCUUAUUUGACACUAGACCAGGGGUCUCCAACCCUGCUCCUGGAGAGUUACCCUCCUAUAGAUUUUAGCUCCAACCCCAAUCAAACACACCUGAAGCAGCUAAUCAAGUGUUCAGGGCUGCUUGAUAAUUACAGACAGGUGUGUUGGAGCAGGGUUGGAACUGAAGUCUGCAGGACGGUAGCUCUCCAGGAGUAGGGUUGGAGAUCCCUGCACUACACUAUGUACGAUCAUUUCGAUUUUCAUAAAGGUGAGUUCGGUGGCACAAGUAGUGAGUCUGUUUCAUACCGUGAUGCUCAGAUUCGAGAUGGAUCCAACACUGAAAGACCACAAUAAUGUGCUUUGACGAGAUCAAACAUCAGUUCAACAAAGAGUCUGGUUUCAGACUGUGUGUGUGAGUGCCCAGUGCCUCCAGUAGAGCUGUUGAAGUUUAUAUGACACUCAUGAAACUGAAGCUUUAUUCAGUCAUAACUGAUCUGUCACAGCGUUUUGGAGUUUCUUGGGAUUGUUAGUGUGUGGAUUGACAGCUUGUCCCACCAGCCUCCCAAUGCAAUGACAACUUCACUUUGAUCAAAGCCGCCUGCACUUCAGCAGGUUCCUCAAUAGCACAUGCAUCAUUAGUCUCUGUUCAGAGAGUGUGCUUUCACCAAAGAACCUGGAUGCAAAAGUGAGAAAGUGACAUGCAAAAGGCAGAAUGUUAUGAGUCAUAAUUCUCUUUUAUUGUAUAGAGAGAGAAAAAAAAAAGAUUCAACGAAAGUGAAUGAUGCUGAACGUCUCCAUUUUCUGUUUCACAAAAUAAAGUCACACAAAUAAAGUGAAAUGAUCUUUGC